rnacentral:rRNA from 1 species
GAUGAACGCUGGCGGCGUGCCUAACACAUGCAAGUCGAGCGAAGCACUUACUUUAGAUUUCUUCGGAAUGACGAAGUUUGUGACUGAGCGGCGGACGGGUGAGUAACGCGUGGGCAACCUGCCCUGUACAGGGGGAUAACAGUUAGAAAUGACUGCCAAUACCGCAUAAGCCCACAGCUUCGCAUGAAGCAGUGGGAAAAACUCCGGUGGUACAGGAUGGGCCCGCGUCUGAUUAGCUAGUUGGUAAGGUAACGGCUUACCAAGGCGACGAUCAGUAGCCGACCUGAGAGGGUGACCGGCCACAUUGGGACUGAGACACGGCCCAAACUCCUACGGGAGGCAGCAGUGGGGAAUAUUGCACAAUGGGGGAAACCCUGAUGCAGCGACGCCGCGUGAGCGAUGAAGUAUUUCGGUAUGUAAAGCUCUAUCAGCAGGGAAGAAAGUGACGGUACCUGACUAAGAAGCCCCGGCUAACUACGUG